UUUUUCUUCUUGUCUCUGAAAGUUUCAGCCAGACUGCAGCAGGUAAUGGCAUUAGUGCUCAGCUCUGACAGUGCUCAGCUCUGACAGCCUGGACCAGGAGGAAGGAAAAGUGCUGUGCCCUGCUCUGGCCCCAGCUGAGAGAUUAAAGCAGCUGGGAGUUGGUCUUCAAUGACAUAAUGAAGACCAGAAGCCUUGGACUUCUACAACCAUGAAACAACAUUCAUUACUCUCCACACUUUCAGGAUUUCUAAUGCUCAUGAUUUCAGAGGGCAGAUGUCUUCCCUGGUUGUUGGAUUUCUCCACUAGAAUAUUUGCAAGAUGACUAUCCUUCAAAAUAAUGGGAAAACAAACUGUGAGAAACAACUGCAUUUAUUUAUCAUAUUUUGCAAAGGAAUAAUUAAAUAAUUGGAAAAUCACCAACUUUUGAAGCUGUCAUCUUCCUCUGACUGACACAUUUGCAGACUGUAUCUCAGAAGAAGCUUUCCUACUACCUCUCCAGGUACCAUAGUAUGAGCCAGCAAGCAAAGCUCUGUAAGUUUCCUGUGAAAUUAACUUACAUGGUGAUACAAAUGGAAGCUCCUGGAAGAGCCCAACUUUCUAACUUGCCCUAAAAAUCAUAGUCUUAGCGUUGUUAAACAAAAUUUAAUUCUGAUCGCAAUGGACGAGAGUCAGCCUCCACAUGUCAUGGACAUGCAUAAUACUCAAAAAGCAAAUAUGGAUGGAAAUUCUGAAUUCAAGAAUGACUUUGAGAUAACAUCAACUAUUUGAAACUGGAAAGCUUCUAAGCAGACCACCAUGAGGAAUUACAUUGUCCUGCAGGAGAGAGAUGAACAGUCACAGUUGUAUCUGUAGCUGUUUUCUUCCCAUUUAUAUUGAAUGAUCUCUAGGAAUAAAAUCUCAAAGGAAAGAAUGGUGGAAGAACAAUGAAAUAUACAGAACAAGCCAAAAUUUGUUUCGGGCCACUUGAGGUUCUGUGAAACCACUUUCAUCCAGACCAUUUUCCACUGCCGGGAUGCAAGAGCAAGGAGAAGAUUGCAUAAGGCAGUUGCUGGGUUCCACUGCUGUACAGAGCUGUCCAUCACUACUGGUGUAUGAUUCAGAAGAAAUCCCACUCUCUACCACAUUGCACUCAGACUUUCCAAGGCCGUCUUUGAAAGCAUCAGAUUUCCGGCGCUGUUGUGCAAUUACAGCAGUAUGAAGCAGCUGCUUCCCAGACAUAAUAACUUCUUUCACAUUUGGAGAAUUGAUACAAUUUUCUUUCUCUACAUCUACUAUUUCAUUUAAGACUUCAUAAUUACAAAGCUCCAGGCUUUGGCCAACACUGCCACAAACAUCUUUUUUCAUCUGCUCUUUAGGAACUGUGUCACAUCCAGGUUCCUCACUUAUAUCUCCACUUAUUCCAGAUGAUUCAGCUGCUUUGUUACCCUCUGUUAUUGGUACCAUCUUUGUUAAGGAGCCUGCUCCAUUUAAGCUGUGCCCUUCAUCUGUGGGUUCAUUUCCUACAGCAGUGAUGUGGUAAUUAACACUAUCCAGGUUGAGUGCAGAAUAGUCAUCGUCAUCAUCAGACACAUGGACUAGAGUUUCUGUGCUGGCCUCCAGAAAAUGUUCCUCAUCCUCAUGGUUAUCAUUUUCAUCCACCUCCUUUGAAACAUUUCCCAGUUGCUUUUCAGGGAAGCCAGUUACCUCUCCACUAUAGCAGCACUCUGGAAAUGAAGCACAUUUUUCUUUCCGGUCCACGCUCAAAACCUCAUCUUUUUCCAUGCUUGUCUGCAAGUUAUCAGCUACAAGUCCGUGACGACAUGCUGUAUUAUACUCCACAGACUCUGAAGCCAAUCCCAUCCACUGGGUCACAUGCUCUUCCCAGCUUUUCUUUCUGAUUGCUAGAGACAUGUCAUAACAGUUCAGCAGCAGACUCCAAUGUACCUUCCACAGAGGACCAGAGGAGAUGUCAUGGCUGCUGUGCACUGCUCCAGAGGGAAAGAGGGUUUCAUCAUUUUAACAUCUGCAAGAAAUAAAAAAAGACUGUGUUAUUGAAUCAACUCCAAAUAAAAAAAAAGAAAGGGAAGGAACAGUUUAAACAAAAGUGUAAAACAAGAUAAGACUGUGGGACCAAAAGGACAGGAAUUUAAAAGACUGUUUUGUUUAAAGUUUUAAUACUUUUCAUACAAAACUUGACGGCACUCAUAAUUCAGUAUAACAUUUUUUUCUGAUUGCUUUCCAAUAUGGAGUAAACAAAAAUGGUAUAAACAGGCAUAUGGACAAGUAAGUAGCUCCAGAGCCAAAAUUUUACAACACCCUUCUCUUAACUGUGUCUCUCAUAAGAUAAUAAUUUCAAUGGGUAUAAAUGACAUUAUAUCCUAUAGUUGCUUUGCACACAGAGUUACUUUAUUUCUUCCUAAUCCACAGAUACCUGUGGAGUUCAGAAUUCUAUUUCCCAAAGAGGUAGAGCACAAAUUGAGUGUUCUUCCACAUUUACCAAAUGUAUAAACUCCUUGUCUUCUGAGUAUCUUUGGCCCACUCAGUGGCUCUUAUUUUUAUUGUUGCUACUCAUUCUCUUCAGGCCAAGUUGUAAUUAUGAGUGUUGCAUGAAACUGCAGAGUAAAUCAGUUGUUGUGUAGAAACAAAAAAAAUUAAAUCACAGAAUCAUAGGUAAGCUUGGUUUUGAAGGGGCCUUUAAAGGUCAUGUAGUCCUAUUCCCUAAAAUACAACAGUAGGAAAACUAAUUUAAGCUUUUUGUGUAUUUCCUUAUUCAAAUAUAUUACAAAAUCUGAACCCUGCCAUACACUCCUCUUGCUGAAUAUAUUCAUGGUCUUCUAGUUUAAAGAAUGGUGAAAACUCUUAUUUAGGACAGGGCUCUCCAGAAGGGUAGCUUGUGAGCCAGCAUGGUUGGCUAUAGAUUUGCUGCUCACCUGGAGUGCCUGGCUCUGCCAGAGGCCACUGUCCCUACCUGGGUUUCUAUGUGGGGAAUUUUCACUGACUGCUGCAUUAAGCAUUCUGGAUGAUGGCAUUUGAAAUACAUUAAUCUUGUGUCAUUGCAUGUGUAUAUCAGCACAAAGAAAAUAUCUCCUAUUAAUUUAUGAAUUAUAAAACAAAAUUAAGAAGUUCAUUGUCAAGGAAGAAAACAAAACUUCUGGCUCAUAAAAUGCUGGAAGUUCAAGGAGCAGACACUUCUAAUUUUCACUCCCUACAUAAGAACUGUCAGCACUUAGCAUGGAUCUGGUUAUUGAUUUCAGCAAUAAAGAAGAUUAAGUGGUGAGUUUGUUCUGGGUCAUUUCAGUCCACUAAGGCAAAUUCUGAUUGCCCACCAGGCCACAAAGCUGCCUUGACAAAUCACAUGCCUGAAGAUAUAAAAGUAUUCAUCUUGAAAGAAAUGCAGAAUUACGCCUGGGCAACUGAACGUCCAUAAAUUAUGUCUUGACAAACUGACUUUCAGGAUAGACUUGUACACGGUCCUAGAUCUUUAACCUUCUUUUAGGAAUGGCAAGCUUCAUUUGACAUUCACAUUUUCCACCUCUGUGGAGACUCUGCUUAAAAAGAACAUAUAUUCAUAGAGUAUAUGAAAUUCCAUGCACAAGUCAUUAGUGUGUGGGAGGCUGAGCAAAAUGGAAAAUAACACACAGAGCCAGGCCAAAAAAAAUUAUCUGCUUUCAGAGGCAAAAUUUAGUAGUAAAAAGUUAAUACAAUUUUUUAAUUCUUUCUUCUUUCUUGGUGGAAUAUGAGAUGAACCCUAAAUACCAAAAUUUAAAGUAAAAUUAUUAUAUAAAUUUGCAGCACAUUCUUACUUUGAUUUAAUCUUUAUUUCUAAGUGUGUGUGGUCCAAAAUUACCAGAGUGAAAAAUCAGUAAUGACAAUAUUUUUAAGUUCUGCUGAACCUUUUCCUGGUGGACACUAAAGCCCUUCAAAUCAAUUAAAUUAAUUUUACAGCCACCACCGUGUUUCGUUUUGAUCUUUGAAAAGAGGCAUGUUUACUAGAAGAGGCUUAAUGAUUUUUACUGUCCUCCAUGAGCAAUGUUUGGAGUUGUAUCUGGGUGCAACUCAUUUGCAGCUUCUCUCUGUCCCCCUACUAGAGAGAAAAGAGCUACUUUAGAGAAAAUUAAACAUGGUUGCUACGGCCAUAUAGAGAAAUUUCUUACAACAAUCAAAAAAGAUACUAGAAAUGUUAAGGGUAAAAAGCUAAAAAAUGCAACUUCCUAAUGACCCAUGCAUCCACCUACCUAAUAUUUAGGCCACUCUUUAUGUGCAGAAGGCAGGCUUUCAGUGAGUUGAUGGGUGUGUGUUAAUCUUGCUGUUGCUAAAUGGAGUUACAGAAAGGGGAGAACAGAUCUGUCACUGGUUUUCAUUUUUUGGAUGUGGUGAGUUAUAUUUCAUGGGGGAUGAAAAACAAAUAAAUUUUGCUUUAGGAACCUUUGUUUUUUACUUGCAUUAUCACUCAUUUUGGCUGCCUUAUAAACUGCCGAAAAAUACUAAACAGAUGAACAUAAAAUACUUUGCUUGAAAUUCAAGACAAAUAAAUAUAUGGCACGGGCACUUUUAUUGUUCUCUAACAAAUGAGUGUAUGUUAGCACUAAAUAUGAAAAUCUACUGUACAUAUGCCACAUCCCCAGGCAGCUUCAUCAGCCGUUCCUGAAAUCCCCUCAUUCCCAUCGUGCAUGAGGGAGCUCAGAGUUUGGUGACAGCAUACUUUUCUUCUGCUUCGUCUCCACUUGUCAAAGACUGUGUUAAACAAUUCAGCUUAGAAAUUAUUAUCCUGCUCUAAUUGCUUGAUGCUUGAGGGCUGACAAGAAACUUUCCUUCUUUUCUACGGCUUUAUUGAAGACAACCUAUUUCCUUUCACUCACAUGCAAGCACGUAAGCUGUGGAGGAUUCACUGCUCCAGAUCUCUGAAAGAGAUUCUCUGCCAGACAACAAAAUGCACCACCACUUUGCAGAAGAAAGUGUUCCUGCCUUGAUCACUGCUGUUUUUGCUAUUGCUACUCACCUUUUUCUUGACAUGAAGCAUGUUUUAUCCUCUGAGAUAUGCCCCUCUCAAGUCCAUUUGUACUUUUGCCAAGGGAAGAAGCAUCCCCCUUUCUCACUUUCUAUUCUUGCCAUGCCACAACUAGAAACCUUUAUAUCUGAUUUCUGCAGAAUUUUAAGACAGAUGAACCAUUAUCGGUCUGUUGAAAUGCUUUGCAGAGUGAAAAGACCUUUUCUUCUGAUCAAAACAUCUAUCAACAUGAUACUGGCCACUCAGCUGUUGCUGUAAUUCAGACUUAUAUUUUACUUUCCUUUUCAAUAGCACUAAGUUUGGUACUGAUUAGUACUAUUGACUUUCUGAAGAAUAAAAGUUUGAAACAAAAAUACAAAGGAUAAAACUUCUUCUGGGCAAAAUUUCUGCAUCCUGCAUUUGAAUUAAGGAAUACUGGCAACAUUGACCCAAUAGGCAAUUCUUGACCUACAGAAAAUGGAACUGAGCAGUGGCUUCUCACACUGAAGCAGAAACCCAUUCAAGAGCGCUCUAUGAUGCUUCACAUUGUUGUCAUUUUAGAUGGAUUUUGUAAUAAUUUACUGCCUAUCUUCUUUUGCUGUAAAAUAUAAUGUUAAUGAAAAGUAAGGUAAACUUUUUUGUUAGUUUAUUUUUGGAAACUUUGGGUCUAGUCUCAGAGAAAUGAGUUACUUUACAAUUGAUAAAGCAUAAAAUGAUAUGAACUGGUAGGCUCUCAUAAUUAGACUGUCUAACAUUUUCCUUCAAUUAGGAUUCCUGUGAUUUUUUUCUGAAAAACUCAUAUUAAACUCUUUGCAGCAAACUUUCAAAAUUCA